ensembl:lncRNA
CCUCAGACAAGGGCACAAGUUUGAGAUGGUGCGGAUCCACAGAGGCAGAGUUGAAGAUACCACACAGUGAAGUUUCUACCUGAAAAUUUACCAGGCAUUAAAACAAAUUUAUUUCCUGUCAAAUCAGAGCAAAAGAUUUGUUGUAAAAAUGACAUGACAUUUUAGUUGCUUUUUUGUGAUGAGAACUUUAAGAUAUGCUCUCUCAGCAACUUUCAAAUAUUCAAUAGAAUAUUUUAAACUAUAUUCGCCAUGCUGUACAUUACAUGAUGUAUUUAUUUAACUGGAAAUGUAUACCUUUUGAUCCCCUUCAUUCAUUUCUCCUGCUCCCCACCUCCUCACUU